GAGGAGUGUUCCCCUUUCCCCACAUCCUCUCCAGGAUAAACUGUCAUUGGCAUUUUUGAUUUUAGCCAUUCUGACAGGUGUAAGACACAGAAAGAAAAACAUGGUAUCUACUCAUUCAUAAGUGGAUAUUGAUACAGAGCAAAGGAUCACCAGCCUACAAUCUACAACCCCAGAGAAGCUAGGAAACAAGGAGGACCCUAAGAGAGACAUAUAAGGAUCCCCCAAGAAGGGGAAAAGGACAAGAUCUCCAGAAGCCUUCAUCCAGUAGCUGAUGGAAGCAGAAGCAGAGAGUCACAGCUAAGCACUGAGCUGAACUCCUGGAAUCCAGUUGUAGAGAGGGAAGAGUGAUAAGAAAAGGGAUCAAGACCAUGCUGGGGAAACCCACACAAAUAGCUGACUUGAGCAAGUGGGAGCUCAUAGAACCCAGUUUGACAGCUAGGGGAAGCAGCCUAAGACCAAACCAGCCCCUUGAACAUGGGUGUCAGCUGGGGGACUUGGACAGUCUAUGGGACCUCUGGCAGUGGAACCAGUAUUUGUCCCUAGUAAACAAAUGGAGUUUGGGAGCCCAUUCCCUAUGGAGGGAUACUCUCUCAGCCUAGAUAUAUGGGGGAAGGCCCAGGUCCUGCCCCAAAUGAUGUGACAGACUUUGAUGAUGCCCCAUGGGAAACCUCACCUACCCUGGAGAGUGGAUGGGGUGGGAUGGAGGGAUAGUGGGGGUGGGGGAUGGGAGAAGAGGAGGGAGAGGGAACUGGGAUUGAUAUGUAAAAUAAGAUUGUUUCUAAUUUAAACAAAAAUAAAAAGAAUCUGUGCCCUAAGAGCCUGCUCUGUUUCUUAGCUGCCCCUUGUGAAGGACUUGAUGUUAGCAUGUUUCCAAUGUCAUUCAAAAAUCAGGAUUUAGAAUUCUACAAGUGUAUCUUUUUUGGCUUUUACCUGCUAAUUUUUGGUUUUUUAUUUAAAUUAGAGACAAGAUUCUUUUACAUGUCAAUGUCAGUUCCCUCUCUCUCUCCCCUCCCCUGCCCCCCACAAAGCCUCCUGUCCCAAUCCCUUUCUUCUCUCCAGAGAGGGUGAGGCCUUCCUUGGGGGAUCUUAAAAGUCUGUCAUAUCAUUUGGAGCAGGGCCUAGACCUUCCCCAGUGUCUCUAGGCUGAGAGAGUAACCCUCUAUGAGGAGAGGGCUCCCAAAGUUCAUUUGUGUACUAGGGGUAAGUACUGAUCUACUACCAGUGACCCCAUAGAUUGUCCAGACCACCAAACUGACUUCCUCCUUCAGCUAUCAGUCUGAGGUCCACGAGCAACCCCUUAUUCAGGUCAGCUGUUUCUGUGGAUUUCUCCAGCCUGGUCUUGACCCCUCUACAAGUGUAUCUUGAAAGCAACUUGUACAGUGUCUGAUGAUAGGAACGUGCCUCUUUUAUAACUCAGUUUCAAAUCUCUAGGUCUGUUUUCAGGUCCAAGGUUUUCCCUGUAGCUUUCUGUGUUUCUCCAUCACAGCAUCUUCACUGUGCUCUGCAGAGGCCCCUGUGUCAGCAUCUUGUAGCUUUCUUGCAGGUGGUAGCGCCUUUAAGAGAAGGGGCCAAGUGGAGUAAAUCAGCGGGGCCACUUCCCAAAAGCAGAUAUUGGGCACAUGAUCUCUCCUGCCACCCUUCUCUUUCACUUCCUAUCAACUCGAGGUAAAUGACUGCUUUUGUCACAUGUCCCCACAAGGACAGACUGUGUCACCACCGUCUCAAAACAAUGGGGGCCAGUUUGUCAUGAACCGAAACAUCCAAAACUGUAGGGACAAAGAAAAUUUUUUCUUUGUAGCUUGAUCACAUGAGGAAUUUUGUUGGGCCAGGAGGAUACUACCUAACACAAAUACCAUCUUCCCUUUGUCUAAUUAAAUAAGUUGAUCUUUCUUCCUUCGGUGCACUAUCUAGAUAUGGUAGCUCCUAAUUACACAUGACCAGGAAACACACUUGAACUGUGGCUAGUGUAAGGAAAUGUUGUCUUUUUUCCUAGUAAACUUUAUAUAUAAGACAUGUAAGGUGGUGGGAACUGAAUGGGGGGGGGGUAAAGGGUACACAUAAUUCUAGAUAGUAAGAUUUCUGGUAUUUUUCAGGACCAGCCCUGUGCCUGGUAUAUGAUUUAAAAGGUCUGCAUAUAUCUGCAAAUCGUGUGUUUCUUAACAUUUUUGUUUGGUGAGAUAAAGAUUUAAUGUGAGGAAAUUCUGUUCU
rnacentral:lncRNA from 1 species